GAAGACUUUGCCGGAUUAGCUGAGAGGUGGUGCAUGGCCGUCGUCAGUUCGUACUGUGAAGCAUCCUGUUAAGUCAGGCAACGAGCGAGACCCACGCCCACAGUUGCCAGCGUACUCUCCGGAGUGACGGGUACACUGUGGGGACCGCCGCUGCUAAAGCGGAGGAAGGAAUGGGCAACGGUAGGUCAGUAUGCCCCGAAUAUCCCGGGCUACACGCGAGCUACAAUGGUUGGUACAAUGGGUAUCUACCCCGAAAGGGGACGGGAAUCUCCUAAAACCAAUCUUAGUUCGGAUUGAGGGCUGCAACUCGCCCUCAUGAAGCUGGAAUCCGUAGUAAUCGCGUUUCAACAGAACGCGGUGAAUACGUCCCUGCUCCUU
rnacentral:rRNA from 1 species